GACGAACGCUGGCGGCGUGCCUAAUAUAUGCAAGUCGAGCGGAUCUUCAUUAGCUUGCUUUUGAAGAUCAGCGGCGGACGGGUGAGUAACACGUGGGCAACCUGCCUGUAAGACUGGGAUAACUUCGGGAAACCGGAGCUAAUACCGGAUAAUCCUUUCCCUCACAUGAGGGAAAGCUGAAAGACGGUUUCGGCUGUCACUUACAGAUGGGCCCGCGGCGCAUUAGCUAGUUGGUGAGGUAACGGCUCACCAAGGCGACGAUGCGUAGCCGACCUGAGAGGGUGAUCGGCCACACUGGUACUGGGACACGGCCCAGACUCCUACGGGAGGCAGCAGUAGGGAAUCUUCCGCAAUGGACGAAAGUCUGACGGAGCAACGCCGCGUGAGCGAUGAAGGCCUUCGGGUCGUAAAGCUCUGUUGUCAGGGAAGAACAAGUAUCGGAGUAACUGCCGGUACCUUGACGGUACCUGACCAGAAAGCCACGGCUAACUAUGUGCCAGCCGCCGCAGUAAAAC
rnacentral:rRNA from 1 species